rnacentral:rRNA from 1 species
CAGCCGCCGCGGGAAUACAGAGGGUGCAAGCGUUAAUCGGAAUUACUGGGCGUAAAGCGCGCGUAGGUGGUUUGUUAAGUUGGAUGUGAAAUCCCCGGGCUCAACCUGGGAACUGCAUCCAAAACUGGCAAGCUAGAGUAUGGUAGAGGGUGGUGGAAUUUCCUGUGUAGCGGUGAAAUGCGUAGAUAUAGGAAGGAACACCAGUGGCGAAGGCGACCACCUGGACUGAUACUGACACUGAGGUGCGAAAGCGUGGGGAGCAAACAGGAUUAGAUACCCCCGUAGUCCCUGUCUCUUAUAC